rnacentral:rRNA from 1 species
CUACGAAGGGUGCAAGCGUUAAUCGGAAUUACUGGGCGUAAAGCGCGCGUAGGUGGUUCGUUAAGUUGGAUGUGAAAGCCCCGGGCUCAACCUGGGAACUGCAUCCAAAACUGGCGAGCUAGAGUAUGGCAGAGGGUGGUGGAAUUUCCUGUGUAGCGGUGAAAUGCGUAGAUAUAGGAAGGAACACCAGUGGCGAAGGCGACCACCUGGGCUAAUACUGACACUGAGGUGCGAAAGCGUGGGGAGCAAACAGGAUUAGAUCCCCUGGUAGUCCACGCCGUAAACGAUGUCGACUAGCCGUUGGGAUCCUUGAGAUCUUAGUGGCGCAGCUAACGCAUUAAGUCGACCGCCUGGGGAGUACGGCCGCAAGGUUAAAACUCAAAUGAAUUGACGGGG